AGAGUUUGAUCCUGGCUCAGGAUGAACGCUAGCGACAGGCCUAACACAUGCAAGUCGAGGGGUAACAGGGGAGCUUGCUUCCGCUGACGACCGGCGCACGGGUGAGUAACGCGUAUGCAACCUUCCCGCGGGAUCGGGAUAGCCCCCCGAAAGAGGGAUUAACACCGGAUGAGGUCAAUGUAUGGCAUCGUAUAUUGAUCAAAUGCGAAGCUUGCGGAUGGGCAUGCGUCUGAUUAGCUAGUUGGGGGGGUAACGGCCCACCAAGGCGACGAUCAGUAGGGGUUCUGAGAGGAAGGUCCCCCACAUUGGUACUGAGACACGGACCAAACUCCUACGGGAGGCAGCAGUGAGGAAUAUUGGUCAAUGGGCGAGAGCCUGAACCAGCCAUGUCGCGUGCAGGAAUACAGCCCUAUGGGUUUUAAACUGCUUUUAACGAGGGAUAAAGGUCGCCACGCGUGGUGAUUUGCAGGUACACGUUGAAUAAGGAUCGGCUAACUCCGUGCCAGCAGCCGCGGUAAUACGGAGGAUCCGAGCGUUAUCCGGAUUUAUUGGGUUUAAAGGGUGCGUAGGCGGCAGUCCAAGUCUGCGGUGAAAUGUCAGGGCUCAACCCUGUCACUGCCAUGGAAACUGGACAGCUUGAGUGCGUUUGGGGUACAUGGAAUGUGCGGUGUAGCGGUGAAAUGCAUAGAUAUCGCACAGAACGCCGAUCGCGAAGGCAGUGUACCAAGCCGCAACUGACGCUGAGGCACGAAAGUGCGGGGAUCGAACAGGAUUAGAUACCCUGGUAGUCCGCACAGUAAACGAUGGAUGCUCGCCGUCCGCGAUAUACAGUGGGUGGCCAAGUGAAAGCGAUAAGCAUCCCACCUGGGGAGUACGCCGGCAACGGUGAAACUCAAAGGAAUUGACGGGGGCCCGCACAAGCGGAGGAACAUGUGGUUUAAUUCGAUGAUACGCGAGGAACCUUACCCGGGCUUGAAAUACAUGAGACGGUAUUGGAAACAGUACUUCCAGCAAUGGCUCAUGUGUAGGUGCUGCAUGGUUGUCGUCAGCUCGUGCCGUGAGGUGUCGGCUUAAGUGCCAUAACGAGCGCAACCCCUGCCAGUAGUUGCCAGCAAUAAGAUGGGGACUCUACUGGGACUGCCACCGCAAGGUGCGAGGAAGGCGGGGAUGACGUCAAAUCAGCACGGCCCUUACGUCCGGGGCGACACACGUGUUACAAUGGGUGGUACAGAGGGAAGCGACGCGGUGACGCGAAGCGGAUCUCGUAAAGCCACUCUCAGUUCGGAUCGGAGUCUGCAACUCGACUCCGUGAAGCUGGAUUCGCUAGUAAUCGCGCAUCAGCCAUGGCGCGGUGAAUACGUUCCCGGGCCUUGUACACACCGCCCGUCAAGCCAUGGGAGUCUGGGGUGCCUGAAGUCCGUAACCGAGAGGAGCGGCCUAGGGUAAAACAGGUGACUGGGGCUAAGUCGUAACAAGGUAACC
rnacentral:rRNA from 1 species